AUGACAUGUUUGCACAGAAAGGAGAGAAGGCAUAGUGUUUGCAUGGCCUAUCAUGAGUCUUUUUGAGGGGGCAGGGUACCGGGGAUCAAACUCGGGACCUUGCGCUUGUGAGGCAGGCAGCAGCACCACUGAGCUAAGACCCCUGGCCCCAUGACCUUCUGAUAUGCCCGCACACACACACAUACACGCACGCACGCUCUGUCCUUUGGGAGUUGUCCUUAAAGGAUUUAUAGAACCUAGAACAUCUGGUGUCCCUCAGAUGACAUCAGAAUGUGUAAUGCCCCUCCUUAUUUUAGUCUGGGGCAUCACCUAACGCAAAGCAUGGACAUUGCUGUGAGAACACGUCCUGAAGGAAGAAGACCCAGCUCAGUGUGAUAGUUCCACCCCACCUCAUCUCCUCACAGUGCCAGCUCUUAAAUAAACCUGAUCUGCGUCCUACCAACUGUCCUGAUUGCUGGCUUUUGAGUGGUGAGUAGACAGACUUGAGUCUGAUGUCACCCCCUCCCAGAAAAAGCUUGUUCCUGCCCUGGUCUCUCCUAUGCCAGUCAAUGGCACCACCGUCUCACAGUUACCAAAACCAGCAACCCAGGAGCUGACCUUGAUUCUCCAUUCUCCUCUGGUCCAAAUCUUUCAGCGAGUUCUACCAAUUCUAUCCCCAAGCUGUCUCUUGGAUCCAGCCCUUACUCUCAUCUGUCAUUUACAGCUUUGCUAUUCACAGGGUGAUCUGGAGUUUAGCAGCAACUGCAUCCCCUAGGAGCAGCAUGGAGAUUCAGUCUCAGGUCCAGUCCCAGACCUUGAAGUAGGGCAUCAGAAUCUGCAGUGUAACAAGAUCCCCAACUGAUUCAUACGUAUAUGAAAGCAUGGUGUGCAUAGAAUUUUGUGGCAGCCCCCUAACUAGUUUUUCUCCUAGAGCUGGUUCAUUCUAACCCACCCGUCUGGGACCAGUUGCCUUCUUGGUUUGAGAAUUCCACAACACUCAGAUGGUAUAAUGUUUUUACUCCACCCUUCCACACAGCACAGGAUUAUGGUUCUAACUUCUUACAGAUUUGUUUUUCAACAAGGCUCUUUGAGUU